GAUGAACGCUGGCGGCGUGCCUAAUACAUGCAAGUCGAGCGAAUGGAUUAAGAGCUUGCUCUUAUGAAGUUAGCGGCGGACGGGUGAGUAACACGUGGGUAACCUGCCCAUAAGACUGGGAUAACUCCGGGAAACCGGGGCUAAUACCGGAUAACAUUUUGAACCGCAUGGUUCGAAAUUGAAAGGCGGCUUCGGCUGUCACUUAUGGAUGGACCCGCGUCGCAUUAGCUAGUUGGUGAGGUAACGGCUCACCAAGGCAACGAUGCGUAGCCGACGUGAGGGGGUGAUCGGCCACCCUGGGACGGGGACACGGCCCAGACGCCUACGGUAGGCAGAAGUAGGGAAUCGUCCGCAAUGGACGAAAGUCUGACGGAGCAACGCCGCGUGAGUGAUGAAGGCUUUCGGGUCGUAAAACUCUGUUGUUAGGGAAGAACAAGUGCUAGUUGAAUAAGCUGGCACCUUGACGGUACCUAACCAGAAAGCCACGGCUAACUACGUGCCAGCCGCCGCCGUAA
rnacentral:rRNA from 1 species